GAGGGUGUAGCUCAGUGGUAGAGCGUGUGCUUAGCAUGCAUGAGGUCUUGAGUUCAAUACCCAGUACCUCCA
rnacentral:tRNA from 1 species